GCCUUCGUGGUGUAGUGGUCAGCACGCUCGAGAAGUCCGAGGGUUCGACUCCCGGCGAGGGCA
rnacentral:tRNA from 1 species